CAUAACGUCGCAAGACCAAAGAGGGGGACCUUCGGGCCUCUUGCCAUCGGAUGUGCCCAGAUGGGAUUAGCUAGUAGGUGGGGUAACGGCUCACCUAGGCGACGAUCCCUAGCUGGUCUGAGAGGAUGACCAGCCACACUGGAACUGAGACACGGUCCAGACUCCUACGGGAGGCAGCAG
rnacentral:rRNA from 1 species